GCUACACCAACAAACAACACGUCUCCCAUGGACUAGGGGUGUCAUAAAUAUCCCAAGCCUAAACUCGAGCCAUCGCCUGUAGAAUUAAAAAACAAAAAGGAAACAAAGAGAGAUUUCUCCUUCUUAUCAUUAAAUGUAUGUGGUCUUAGAACGAAACUCAUCUGCCCGGACUUUAUUAAUUAUAUCUCACAAUAUGACUUUAUUGGACUACAGGAAACCAAGCUGGAUGAUUACGAUAAGAUAGAUAUCCCUGGAUAUAAUGUGUUUAUGAAUAAUAGAAGAGUGCAAAAGAACCUAUGUAAAUCCGGAGGUUUAGCACUUUAUGUUAAAGAAACGCUCUCCCCAUAUGUUGAAAUUCUGGACAAUGACUCUGAAUACGCGCUAUGGUUCAAGAUAAGAAGCACUCUCACCCACGCACAAGAUGCUUAUUUUACUGUGGUCUAUAUCCCCCAGAAAAUUCUCGAUAUUCCUCAAUUGAAAAAAUGGAGACUUUUGAAAAGGAGGUAAUUGAAUUUAGUAAUAUGUCUGAUUUGAUAUGCGUUUUUGGAGACUUUAAUGCUCGCACUAAGACAAUGCCUGACUACAUAACAUAUGAUGCACCCGAUGGAACUGAAAAGGACGAAGAACUGGACCUUUAUAUGAAUAUGAAUCAAGCAUCUACACUACAACAGAACGGUAUCCCACUUACCAGGGUUAACAGUGACAGAAUCUCUAACAACUAUGGACACAGACUUAUCAAACUGUGCAUAGCUAAUAAUUUAUUCAUUGUAAACGGACGACUCGGCAGUGACUCUGAGAAAGGCAAUUUUACCUCGAAAGAUUGUGCUGUCGUGGACUAUUUUAUAUGCAGUAGUGAACUACUAAAACUUGCAACGAUUUUUAAAGUA